rnacentral:lncRNA from 1 species
CCCACACAAAACUAGUAAAAUACAUUAAAUCUCUCAAGUGUCCUUUUGCUUCUCUUUUUUUUCCAGGACACCGAGCUUCUGGAGCCCUGUGCUUGUCAGUUCCUCAGGUCUUGGCCACGUGUCCCACGUGCAGAAUGGGGAAGCUACAGUCCCUGUGGAGGAAGAGCUGCAGGCUUGGGGGAGAAGCAGGUAAAAAUGAUGACUAAAGGCCCUGCGGGGGAGAAGAAGAUGGUGUGUGAGAAAAUUACCAGAAGACUGAUACUGUAACUGCACACGGAUCAAGGAAUGGAUGGAACAACAAGGAAGGGG